rnacentral:misc_RNA from 1 species
UUAAGUUCAGCGGGUAAUCCUGUCUGAUUCGAGGUCAAAAAAUAAAGGUUCGUGAAAAACCCUCGGUUUUUCAUACUAAAAGCGCAGGCUACAAUCCUAUUCAAGACUCCUGUCUAUUCCAGAAAAAGUAACACUGGCCCAGUCAUUUCAUGGGGUUGAGACAAUUUCAAGCCCCACAAUGCCCGAGUCCUACAAAAGCA